rnacentral:misc_RNA from 1 species
CGACCCUGCCUUUCAGGCAUCCUCUCCCAAACUUCCAAAUCCCGGUCGGCAACGGCCGGGAUUUUUUUCGUCCCGC